GAUGAACGCUGGCGGCGUGCCUAAUACAUGCAAGUCGAGCGAACAGACGAGGAGCUUGCUCCUCUGACGUUAGCGGCGGACGGGUGAGUAACACGUGGAUAACCUACCUAUAAGACUGGGAUAACUUCGGGAAACCGGAGCUAAUACCGGAUAAUAUAUUGAACCGCAUGGUUCAAUAGUGAAAGACGGUUUUGCUGUCACUUAUAGAUGGAUCCGCGCCGCAUUAGCUAGUUGGUAAGGUAACGGCUUACCAAGGCAACGAUGCGUAGCCGACCUGAGAGGGUGAUCGGCCACACUGGAACUGUGACACGGUACAGACUCCUACGGGAGGCAGCAGUAGGGAAUCUUCCGCAAUGGGCGAAAGCCUGACGGAGCAACGCCGCGUGAGUGAUGAAGGUCUUCGGAUCGUAAAACUCUGUUAUUAGGGAAGAACAAAUGUGUAAGUAACUAUGCACGUCUUGACGGUACCUAAUCAGAAAGCCACGGCUAACUACGUG
rnacentral:rRNA from 1 species